GACGAACCGUGCAAACGUUGUUCGGAAUCACUGGGCAUAAAGGGCGCGUAGGCGGAUCGGUAAGCCCGGGGUGAAAUCCCCCAGCUCAACUGGGGAAGUGCCUUGGGAACCGCCGGUCUCGAGGGGGGUAGGGGCAUGCGGAACUUCCGGUGAAGCGGUGAAAUGCGUAGAUAUCGGAAGGAACGCCGGUGGCGAAAGCGGCGUGCUGGAUCCCUUCUGACGCUGAGGCGCGAAAGCCAGGGGAGCAAACGGG
rnacentral:rRNA from 1 species